rnacentral:rRNA from 1 species
GAUGAACGCUGGCGGCGUGCCUAAUACAUGCAAGUCGAGCGGACAGACGAGGAGCUUGCUCCUCUGACGUUAGCGGCGGACGGGUGAGUAACACGUGGAUAACCUACCUAUAAGACUGGGAUAACUUCGGGAAACCGGAGCUAAUACCGGAUAAUAUAUUGAACCGCAUGGUUCAAUAGUGAAAGACGGUUUUGCUGUCACUUAUAGAUGGAUCCGCGCCGCAUUAGCUAGUUGGUAAGGUAACGGCUUACCAAGGCAACGAUACGUAGCCGACCUGAGAGGGUGAUCGGCCACACUGGAACUGAGACACGGUCCAGACUCCUACGGGAGGCAGCAGUAGGGAAUCUUCCGCAAUGGGCGAAAGCUUGACGGAGCAACGCCGCGUGAGUGAUGAAGGUCUUCGGAUCGUAAAACUCUGUUAUUAGGGAAGAACAAAUGUGUAAGUAACUAUGCACGUCUUGACGGUACCUAAUCAGAAAGCCACGGCUAACUACGUG